rnacentral:rRNA from 1 species
CUUAACCUGGGAACUGCAUGUGAUACUGGUGGUGCUAGAAUAUGUGAGAGGGAAGUAGAAUUCCAGGUGUAGCGGUGAAAUGCGUAGAGAUCUGGAGGAAUACCGAUGGCGAAGGCAGCUUCCUGGCAUAAUAUUGACACUGAGAUUCGAAAGCGUGGGUAGCAAACAGGAUUAGAUACCCUGGUAGUCCACGCCGUAAACGAUGUCUACUAGCCGUUGGGGUCCUUGAGACUUUAGUGGCGCAGUUAACGCGAUAAGUAGACCGCCUGGGGAGUACGGCCGCAAGGUUAAAACUCAAAUGAAUUGACGGGGGCCCGCACAAGCGGUGGAGCAUGUGGUUUAAUUCGAUGCAACGCGAAGAACCUUACCUGGUCUUGACAUAGUGAGAAUCUUUCAGAGAUGAGAGAGUGCCUUUGGGAACUC